rnacentral:rRNA from 1 species
UACGUAGGUGGCAAGCGUUGUUCGGAAUUAUUGGGCGUAAAGGGCGCGUAGGCGGCUCGUUAAGUCGGCUGUGAAAGCCCGGGGCUCAACCCCGGAGGGUCAGCCGAUACUGGCGAGCUAGAGUACGGAAGAGGUAGCUGGAAUUCCCGGUGUAGCGGUGAAAUGCGUAGAGAUGUGGAGGAACACCAGUGGCGAAGGCGACUCUUUGGCCUGUAACUGACGCUGAGGCGCGAAAGCGUGGGGAGCAAACAGG